rnacentral:rRNA from 1 species
AUUGAACGCUGGCGGCAGGCCUAACACAUGCAAGUCGAACGAGUGGCGGACGGGUGAGUAAUGUCUGGGCAACUGCCUGAUGGAGGGGUCUAACUACUGGAAACGGUAGCUACUACCGCAUACCAUCAGAUGUGCCCAGAUGGGAUUAGCUAGUUGGUGGGGUAACGGCGCACCAAGGCGACGCUCCCUAGCUGGUCUGAGAGGAUGACCAGCCACACUGGAAAUGAGACACGGUCCAGACGCCUACGGGAGGCAGCAGUGGGGAAGAUUGCACAAUGGGCGCAAGCCUGAUGCAGCCAUGCCGCGUGUAUGAAGAAGGCCUGCGGGUUGUAAAGUACUUUCAGCGGGGAGGCGUUACCCGCAGAAGAAGCACCGGCUAACUCCGUGCCAGCCGCCGCGGUAAUUC